AUUGAACGCUGGCGGCAUGCCUUACACAUGCAAGUCGAACGGCAGCGCGGGAGCAAUCCUGGCGGCGAGUGGCGAACGGGUGAGUAAUAUAUCGGAACGUGCCCAGUAGUGGGGGAUAGCCCGGCGAAAGCCGGAUUAAUACCGCAUGAGACCUGAGGGUGAAAGCGGGGGAUCGCAAGACCUCGCGCUACUGGAGCGGCCGAUAUCAGAUUAGCUAGUUGGUGGGGUAAAGGCCUACCAAGGCAACGAUCUGUAGUUGGUCUGAGAGGACGACCAGCCACACUGGGACUGAGACACGGCCCAGACUCCUACGGGAGGCAGCAGUGGGGAAUUUUGGGACAAUGGGCGCAAGCCUGAUCCAGCAAUGCCGCGUGCAGG
rnacentral:rRNA from 1 species